UGGUUCAGUGGUAGAGCUCUUGCCUAGCAUGCAUGAAGCUUUGGGUUCGAUCCCCAG
rnacentral:tRNA from 1 species